CAUUGCCUGCCCUAAAAAGGGCCACUGUCCAAAACGUGGAUCUACUUAAGCAAUAUUUUCUGUUUUGAGGCAAUGCUGAAGAUUCCGUUGUCUCUGUGCUUAUACACAAGGGCUGUCCUUCCAAUUUGUAUUGUUACUCACGGAUUACUGCUCUGUGUGUGAUCCCUGUCUUGAUGCCACCAAUCCACUGUGGGGUGGUGGUUUCAGAUUAUCAGAACAUUAAUGUUUAUUUAUACUGGAGGAAUCCGAUGAGCUAUAAAGCUGUUUUUCAUAGACGUCCUGAUGGGUUGGGUCAGAACGUUACAACAACAACAAUAUAAUAACACGAUAGGCGUGAAGAGUAUAGGAAAGGUAAGCGAAUCACUAAAACAAAUAUACAAAUUAAACUAAACUAUUUUACUUUAUCAGGUAAAGCUCACUGAGCUGUGGUAUGUUUACCCCGAGUGGGUACACGCGAUGUCUGUCGGGGCUUCAUCAUAAAGUAAAAAAGAACAACUAUGUUUUUUUUUAUUUUACCAGGUCAGGCUCACUGAGUUUUAUAACUUUUUUUCAGAAGCGAUCUGGCUAAAAUGAUAUCUCAACGAAGUUGCUUAUCAUGUUCAAAUUUAAAGCAGUCAAAUGAUGUAAGUCAUCUAAACGCAUGCAUAUGAGAUUGUUAAUGUCAUUCAAAGUUCCUAACCUGUGCUAUGUUUAUCCCUGGUGAGUACACGUGACAUCUCCAAGGGCUUCGUGAGACGAUUUGUGUGAUGGGGGCGGUGGCCAUACCACACGUUUUGUUUGCAGGCUAUGCCGGGAAAGUCCCUGGUUUCACAAAAGGGUGGAGAGAGAUAUAUUGCAUAUAUGUUGUCUGCUUUUAUAUAUUCUGUUACUUAUAUUCGCCAAAGUGAUGUCAAUUAUUAUGUUGCGCUAUGUAUUAUACAAUUUUGCGUUUGAAUAUGACCCAUGUUCCUUGGAAACGGUCACGAAGCAUUGGUUCAAGCAAGCCUGGCUAACCGAUGAGAAGCCAGAAUUUGCGUGUCAUAAUGGACCGAUGCUGCUAAAAUGAUGCAAUCUAAGAAUGCUGUAUGCUUGACGACGAAGUGUAAACUCAUUUUUUUGUUUAUUGUGAAGUGGACUUUGGUUCUCAGAGGAGUAGGUGGGAGACCUCUGAGCGAGCGGUAGGUUGCGACCAAUGUCAGAUGGAGCCACUCCAUCACUCCCUGCGUGGGUAGUGACAGCGAUGGAGCUGACGUAGCCGUGUACACGCGGACGGGGGCUGACACUGCCCGAUUGAAAAAAAAACCAAUGACAAUGUUUCUGGUUGGUCACUGGUUUCCACGCCAUACGAGUAUUAGCAUGACCUAGCCUGUGUAUCCAUGCAUAGCAGUGCCUAAGAACAGUGACACAUUGAAGCAAACCUCUCAAAUCGUGACCAUUGAAUGGGGAAACAGGGUGAUCGGCUGCGCUGAGCAGAUCUGAAUUAAAACAAAUCAUUUCGAGCCCUUUGUCAAUCCACUGCUGAGUGAGGCCCUCCGCGCCGCCACGCCGACAAUGAGAGAAUAAAGUCAGGGCAGACAGCUAUUUCAAUAAUCCACUUGCUGGAUAAGAGCAUACCCCACGUCUUCCGUGUUAUUUGACCAUACUUCACCACGCUGAUCAAUCCGGGUCAGCGACACAGAGAGAACAUCUGAAGAAACAUCAUCCCCCUUAUCUCCCCUACCCCCAUAAAGAGUGGUUACCAAGGGGUCAGUGUUUCAUCCUGGUCGCAUUGUUGGACUCCGCAAGUUGCCAUCCACUCACAUAGAACAUAUUUGCCAUCCGCAGAUUUAAACCAUCUUGAAAUAUAUCCGGAACAUAUAAAAAACAGCGAAAAUGCAUGUAAAUUGCAUGUCAAAUGGAGACAUUUAUAUUACACCUGAUGGCAAAAAUUCUACUCAAUUAGGAGGAAUCCACUGCUCCACGAACCGUGAUGAAAAUAUUUCAAGCGAGCUUCGUCUGCGCGAAAACGGUGGUGCGCGGGAAGAGAAUGAAACCAAAUUGACAAACAUCUCACAUUCUCAGCAAACAAUCGAAAGAGCGGACGCACUUAACACGUGUUCGCCGGGGGAGCAUAGUCAAAAUAGAUACGUCGCAAUGGGUACGUCCCCGCCGCCUUUCGUUCAAAACCCUCCUCAGCCCACAGACGAAGAGUUGUCUGCCGCGUUUGUGUUCGAGAAACUUCCGCAUCGCACGCCCUCCUCUCGUCCCGUCUGCCACUACACGGGGACUCACCUUGGCCCCCCGAGUCGGCACGGAACCUUCUAACGGAUAAGCAAAUGUUGUGAACGAAGAGUUACCACGCCUGAAUAUGACCCCUUGCAUCCACGCAAAAAAAAACUGUGGGUGAUCGUACAUAAUACGAUUAAUGUAUUGUGCUGUACGCUAAUGUCCCUGCUAUUCUAAAUAGCUGUGGAUAACAAUAUGAAUUUACUGCGAUGUACACUGUAGUGUAGUGCAGCAUUUUUGUUGCUGGAUCCUUGACGUUUUCGAAACUUCGGCCUGUGCUCAGCAACUUUAAAAAAGACUAAUUGGCCCAAUGUUUGCUGUAUUCUCGCUAUAAUAUCGCCACCAAUCCCGUGCUGAUAUUGUUUUACUCAUUGGUGCACCAGUGGCCCAACAAUGCCAUUUUGCUCGAUGCCAAUCUCUGUGCCAAUGCUUACGCGAUAUUCUGUAAUGUUGUGGGGCACCAUCACGCUAUCCAUUCAUUUCAAAUAUGUACCUAUUUUCCCGCAUAUAGCCCGCAAACGCAUAUAACCCGCAGACGCAUAUACCCCGCAAAAAUAGCGUUUUGUGUAAAACAAAUUUCAGAUAGCCCGCACCUCCAUAUACCCCUCAUGCAUCCAUAUCUUUAACGUCGUUAACGGUUAUUACACUUGGCUCGCAGUCCACAGGUCCGGCUCUCCCAGCUACCAGCCUGGCAGCUGAAACGAUCGUUCAUGUUUACAAAAUGCUCUUUGCCUCUGUCCACCCAGCGGUUGGGUAGACAACAGUCAGUCGGUCAAAAGGUCACACGUGGUUGGGUAAAGUGUGGGUACUCACCCCUCUUCCGAGAUGUCUGGCGAGCGUGGAAAAGUCGACCAAACUACUGCUAGAGGAGGCCCUUCCUCCUGCAUUGGCACGAGCAAAACCUUUACCGUUUAUAGUUUCACACAUAUAUAAGCUGAUCUGUAAUAAGCAUUUUAGAUUUCGUAUGAUCUUCUUUUGACACUCAAAUUACACAUCACUUAUUUACUCUGCGUUGCGCGCUUUCAGAUGCGCAUCUGCGGCCGUCUGGAACGCUCUUCCGUUCGAUGUUAGGAAACCACUGGGAGCUAUGCAGUUUAAAAUCAUCUCGAUUGAAAACGAAUUCCUUGAGAACUACUUGUUUUGUGUUUAGUUUUUGUCCUUAGCACGGUUGUCUACGUAUGGAAGAAGUUCAACAUACAUCGGAAUAUUUGAAAUAGUUUGAAACAACCAAUGUACAGUGAGGGAAAAAAAGUAUUUGAUCCCCUGCUGAUUUUGUACGUUUGCCCACUGACAAAGAAAUGAUCAGUCUAUAAUUUUAAUGGCAGGUUUAUUUGAAC